rnacentral:rRNA from 1 species
AUUGAACGCUGGCGGCAGGCCUAACACAUGCAAGUCGAACGGUAACAGGAAACAGCUUGCUGUUUCGCUGACGAGUGGCGGACGGGUGAGUAAUGUCCGGGAAACUGUCCGAUGGAGGGGGAUAACUACUGGAAACGGUAGCUAAUACCGCAUAACGUCGCAAGACCAAAGAGGGGGACCUUCGGGCCCCUUGCCAUCGGAUGUGCCCAGAUGGGAUUAGCUAGUAGGUGGGGUAACGGCUCACCUAGGCGACGAUCCCUAGCUGGUCUGAGAGGAUGACCAGCCACACUGGAACUGAGACACGGUCCAGACUCCUACGGGAGGCAGCAGUGGGGAAUAUUGCACAAUGGGCGCAAGCCUGAUGCAGCCAUGCCGCGUGGAUGAAGAAGGCCUUCGGGUUGUAAAGUACUUUCAGCGGGGAUGAAGGGAGUAAAGUUAAUACCUUUGCUCAUUGACGUUACCCGCAGAAGAAGCACCGGCUAACUCCGUG